UCGUCGCAAGCCUCCUCUCUUUCGCUUCUUCUUCAUCGUUACAACUUACAACUUUUCGCAUUUUCUUCCGUUUCUCUACUUUUGAUCAUUCAUUCCUCUUCUUUAAUCCUAUCUACGUGAGCAAUGAUAUCCUUUCAACUUCCUCUCUUUCUCCAACUACAUAAACCCAUCUGUCUGUUGAAGUUUUUUUACCAAACCAAAUUCUACAACCUUCGUUCACCAAAAACAAUCGAUGGGCAUGAAAUUGGUUCAAACCUCCGGCAAGUCUCCGGUUGCUUUAUAUGUCAACGACGUUGGAUAAUGGGAGUCAUACUAAUCUCAACGGGUCCAUCAGCAUUGGAACUAUACUUCUGUUUGAUCCAUUUCUGAGAGGCCGGAACCGGUUCGAAAGGUGGAGCUCUUAUUGGCUUAGAGCUUCUCAUCAUCGACGAACAGGCCACUCUGAUCCAAGCGUUCAUCUCAUCACAUCGUGCUCCACGGUACGAGCUUUGAGGAAUUUCUACGCAACGAAAAGCAAAGAGCUACGCAGCAACAAUGUUCUACAAAUUCACGGCCAGUGUCGACAACUCCCGUCAUCCUUUUAGUGGCGACUGUGAAUCCAAAUCGUAUCGGUGGGACCCUUGCCUUCAGCUCAAUGUCAUCAUCAGGUGUGUUCAUCGACAAAGAUUUCAACCCACAAUCGACUACUUCAAUUGUUGAAUUAUAACCCAGAGAUUGCUAAGGAAGUGAAUGCAUAGGAGGAGGUGACUAAAGCUGGGUCGGUGACAAUUGGAAAAAAUAUUUGCUUAUAUCAAGCAAGGAUCGGCCAAGGAGGCUUUCUUGAGUGCAUAGUGACAAUUGAUGAUGUUUAACCAUGAUUCUCCUUGGUAUUAUAUCGUUUGCAGUUAUUGCAAAACAGAGGCCAACAGAAGGCCCUUCUUCGUUUGUGCUCUAAAUGCAGCAAUGAAAACGUAACCGGGGUCAAAAAGCCGUGAGCUAACUGGAAAGCAUGCCUCCGGAUUGGUUGAUAAAUACUUUGAGGCUAAUGGUGAUCUUGGUCCUGACCAUGAGAUGCCUGCAUGUCCCACAAGCUUUGAUCGACACCAUUGGUCAAACACAUAGGUUCAAGGUGAAAGUUUUUGAAUACAAAGGAAGGACUCAGGCUAUAACAGUUAUGAAGGUUGUCUCUCCCGCAGUCCUGCAACCUUUAACAGCCCCAGUUGGAAUCCCACUUGCCACCACUUUUAAAGUGCCUCUAUUUUCUGCAAGUUGAUUAGGGUCCGUCCUUCAAAGACUGGAGACCUAGCUGAUGAAGAAAACGCCAGUACAAGUACUGUGACGAAGCACAGAGAGGAAAACGUGCUAAACUUGAGUAAUAGAGCAUUAACCACUAUCUUAUAGAAUGCACUCAUGCGUAGGAGUGUAGCUUAUCUUUUCAUUUUUAAUUCUGAGCUUUUGCUAAGUUUUUAUAUAUAUUUAACUAUGGCUUUACAUA